GCGUAACGCGUAUGCAACCUACCCAUUACUGGGAGAUAGCCCGGGGAAACCCGGAUUAAUACCCCAUAGUACUAUAAUGUGGCAUCAUAUAAUAGUUAAAGAUUUAUUGGUAAUGGAUGGGCAUGCGUGUCAUUAGUUAGUUGGUGAGGUAAUGGCUCACCAAGACAGCGAUGACUAGGGGGCCUGAGAGGGUGAUCCCCCACACUGGUACUGAGAUACGGACCAG
rnacentral:rRNA from 1 species